rnacentral:rRNA from 1 species
GACGAACGCUGGCGGCGUGCUUAACACAUGCAAGUCGAACGGAAAGGCCCUGCUUUUGUGGGGUGCUCGAGUGGCGAACGGGUGAGUAACACGUGAGUAACCUGCCCUUGACUUUGGGAUAACUUCAGGGAACUGGGGCUAAUACCGGAUAGGAGCUCCUGCUGCAUGGUGGGGGUUGGAAAGUUUCGGCGGUUGGGGAUGGACUCGCGGCUUAUCAGCUUGUUGGUGGGGUAGUGGCUUACCAAGGCUUUGACGGGUAGCCGGCCUGAGAGGGUGACCGGCCACAUUGGGACUGAGAUACGGCCCAGACUCCUACGGGAGGCAGCAGUGGGGAAUAUUGCACAAUGGGCGGAAGCCUGAUGCAGCAACGCCGCGUGCGGGAUGACGGCCUUCGGGUUGUAAACCGCUUUCGCCUGUGACGAAGCGUGAGUGACGGUAAUGGGUAAAGAAGCACCGGCUAACUACGUGCCAGCAGCCGCGGUGAUACGUAGGGUGCGAGCGUUGUCCGGAUUUAUUGGGCGUAAAGGGCUCGUAGGUGGUUGAUCGCGUCGGAAGUGUAAUCUUGGGGCUUAACCCUGAGCGUGCUUUCGAUACGGGUUGACUUGAGGAAGGUAGGGGAGAAUGGAAUUCCUGGUGGAGCGGUGGAAUGCGCAGAUAUCAGGAGGAACACCAGUGGCGAAGGCGGUUCUCUGGGCCUUUCCUGACGCUGAGGAGCGAAAGCGUGGGGAGCGAACAGGCUUAGAUACCCUGGUAGUCCACGCUGUAAACGGUGGGUACUAGGUGUGGGGUCCAUUCCACGGGUUCCGUGCCGUAGCUAACGCUUUAAGUACCCCGCCUGGGGAGUACGGCCGCAAGGCUAAAACUCAAAGGAAUUGACGGGGCCCCGCACAAGCGGCGGAGCAUGCGGAUUAAUUCGAUGCAACGCGUAGAACCUUACCUGGGUUUGACAUGGAUCGGGAGCGCUCAGAGAUGGGUGUGCCUCUUUUGGGGUCGGUUCACAGGUGGUGCAUGCCUGUCGUCAGCUCGUGUCGUGAGAUGUUGGGUUAAGUCCCGCAACGAGCGCAACCCUUGUUCACUGUUGCCAGCACGUUAUGGUGGGGACUCAGUGGAGACCGCCGGGGUCAACUCGGAGGAAGGUGGGGAUGACGUCAAGUCAUCAUGCCCCUUAUGUCCAGGGCUUCACGCAUGCUACAAUGACUGGUACAGAGAGUGGCGAGCCUGUGAGGGUGAGCGAAUCUCGGAAAGCCGGUCUCAGUUCGGAUUGGGGUCUGCAACUCGACCUCAUGAAGUCGGAGUCGCUAGUAAUCGCAAAUCAGCAACGCUGCGGUGAAUACGUUCCCGGG